rnacentral:rRNA from 1 species
GGGAUGAGACUAAGCCAUGCAUGUCGAGCGCUCUUCAGCUAUGUAGAGAGCGCGGCGAACGGCUCAAUAACACGUAGUUAACCUACCCUCGGGAUGGGAAUAACCCCGGGAAACUGGGAUUAAUGCCCACUAGAUGAUUAUACCUGGAAUGGCUUAUCAUCGAAAGAGUCUGGAAACAUGCUUCCAGCGUCGCCCGAGGAUGGGACCGCGUCCGAUCAGGUAGUUGGUGGGGUAAUGGCCUACCAAGCCUAUAACCGGUACGGGCCCUGAGAGGGGGAGCCCGGAGAUGGAAACUGAGAAAAGGUUCCAGGCCCUACGGGGUGCAGCAGGCGCGAAACCUCCACAAUGCGCGAAAGCGUGAUGGGGUUAUCCCGAGUGCCGUCCGAUGAGGAUGGCUUUUAAUCGAUGUAAGGAUUCGAUAGAAUAAAGGGGGGGCAAGACUGGUGUCAGCCGCCGCGGUAAUACCAGCCCCCUGAGUGGUAAGGACGAUUAUUUGGCCUAAAGCGUUCGUAGCCGGCUUAUCAAGUCUUUUGUUAAAUCCAACGAUUCAAUCGUUGGGCCGCAAAAGAUACUGUUAUGCUAGAGGACGGGAGAGGUCGACGGUAGUCCAGGGGUAGGGGUGAAAUCCUAUAAUCCUUGGAGGACCACCAGUGGCGAAGGCGGUCGACUAGAACGUGCCUGACGGUGAGGGACGAAAGCUGGGGGAGCGAACCGGAUUAGAUACCCGGGUAGUCCCAGCUGUAAACGAUG